rnacentral:rRNA from 1 species
CUACGGGUCGCACCAGUGAGGAAUAUUGCACAAUGGGGGGAACCCUGAUGCAGCAACGCCGCGUGGAGGAUGACGCAUUUCGGUGUGUAAACUCCCUUUAUAUGUCAAGAAAAUGACGGUAGCAUAUGAAUAAGCACCGGCUAACUCCGUGCCAGCAGCCGCGGUAAUACGGAGGGUGCAAGCGUUACUCGGAAUCACUGGGCGUAAAGGACGCGUAGGCGGGUUGGAAAGUCAGGUGUGAAAUCUUACAGCUUAACUGUAGAACUGCACUUGAAACUUCUAAUCUAGAGUAUGGGAGGGGGAGAUGGAAUUAGUGGUGUAGGGGUAAAAUCCGUAGAUAUCACUAGGAAUACCUAAAGCGAAGGCGAUCUCCUGGAACAUUACUGACGCUAAGGCGUGAAAGCGUGGGGAGCAAACAGGAUUAGAUACCCGGGUAGUC